GUCGUCGUGGCCGAGUGGUUAAGGCGACAGACUUGAAAUCUAUUGGGAUAUUCCCGCGCAGGUUCAAAUCCUGCCGACUACG
rnacentral:tRNA from 1 species